AGAGUUUGAUCAUGGCUCAGGAUGAACGCUAGCUACAGGCUUAACACAUGCAAGUCGAGGGGAAACGACAUCGAAAGCUUGCUUUUGAUGGGCGUCGACCGGCGCACGGGUGAGUAACGCGUAUCCAACCUGCCCACCACUUGGGGAUAACCUUGCGAAAGUAAGACUAAUACCCAAUGACGUCUCUAGAAGACAUCUGAAAGAGAUUAAAGAUUUAUCGGUGAUGGAUGGGGAUGCGUCUGAUUAGCUUUGUUGGCGGGGUAACGGCCCGCCAAGGCUACGGAUCAGUAGGGGUUCUGAGAGGAAGGUCCCCANAUUGGAACUGAGCACGGUCCAAUCCUACGGGAGGCA
rnacentral:rRNA from 1 species